AAAGACUACAAAUAUAAAAAAAUGGCAAAUGAAAUAUCCCAAAAGGUGCAAAUCCCAAAUGUGUGCUAUGGUAAAAAAAAAUCAUUACUUUGAAUCACUGGUUGAUGAAGCAACAGUUGUAUUUUAGUCAGUCAUGUUUCAAGUAAUUAUACUAUUCUUGUGCUACUGCUUGUUAUAAAUAUAUUAUUUGAAAACCAUUUAUACAUUCUAGUUUAUCUUGAGUAGCAAAGAAGCAUCACUAUACCAUAAAUACUACCAAAAAUACAUUAGUCUCAGUUUGAAUGUAGAAUUCACACCGAUCACGUUGAUGUAAAGGUUUCAGAUGCAGCUCCACCCUGACCCCCUCAGUCUAAAUAUAAGACAGAAAUAAUCUUUCCUGGGCUUAUUUCAUCGGUGAUUGGGAAGAACAGUCAGUCUCACAUCUCUAUCAUGUGACCUUACGGUAUAUUGGUGCUGAACAGAGUGACGUGUGUCUCAUUCAACUGGAAGACGGCUCACAGCUGACAUGUUCAUCACACUACUUUAUCUGAUGCUUCUUUUCCACUCAGGUCUCCCUGUGGUAGUUCUUCAGUCUGGAGAUCAAAUGUCCCACCCAGGAUUGACAGUGAACUUUGAGUGCAGCAUGGGUCCAGCGUUCAGCAUGGGCAGCUACACCAUGCUCUGGUAUCGACAAAACCAGUACGGCGCACUGCUGGAGUUCCUCACCAAAGAGUACGAGCAAACUGCGGGGCGCUUCCAGUCUUCUCUGGAAACAUCCAAGAACAACUUCUCUCUUCAGGUGACUGGGCUGCUCCUGAAUGACAGCAGCACUUACUACUGUGCUGCCAGUCACAGUGAUGCACACAGACCACACCGUCAUACAAAUAACAACUGGGGCUGGCACAGGUGGCACACCGACUCCUGCCACAGGAGCUGUGGCUUCCAUGGUUUUCAUACUCAAAUGGUGGAAACAUAAAGACGUGAAAUCAUUGAUUAAGUCCUGAAAGUAGGGCAAGACACAAUUACAGGACAGGAUGAGCUACCUUACUUUAAACUACAUUUAUAGAAGUAGUCCAUUCUA